AUUGAACGCUGGCGGCAUGCCUUACACAUGCAAGUCGAACGGUAACGGGUCCUUCGGGAUGCCGACGAGUGGCGAACGGGUGAGUAAUAUAUCGGAACGUGCCCAGUAGUGGGGGAUAACUGCCCGAAAGAGCAGCUAAUACCGAGUACGACCUGAGGGUGAAAGGGGGGGAUCGCAAGACCUCUCGCUAUUGGAGCGGCCGAUAUCAGAUUAGCUAGUUGGUGGGGUAAAGGCCUACCAAGGCAACGAUCUGUAGUUGGUCUGAGAGGACGACCAGCCACACUGGGACUGAGACACGGCCCAGACUCCGACGGGAGGCAGCAGUGGGGAAUUUUGGACAAUGGGCGCAAGCCUGAUCCAGCAAUGCCGCGUGCAGGAAGAAGGCCUUCGGGUUGUAAACUGCUUUUGUCAGGGAAGAAAUCUUCUGGGCUAAUACCCCGGGAGGAUGACGGUACCUGAAGAAUAAGCACCGGCUAACUACGUGCCAGCCGCCGCCGUAAUAC
rnacentral:rRNA from 1 species